GUAUAAGAGCAGCUUGAAAAACUGAAUUAUAAAAUGUAUUAAUGGAAAUAGGGUAUACAAGGACACAUACUCCUGGUGGUCCAGCAAAAAUUGGCACAACGCUGCUUCACAAAUCAAAGAAGGCUGCAGAUGUUAAAGAAUACUGAUGGCAUUUGAGAUCCAUACCUCCACUAAAUCCUUUAUACUCCUUUAUACAGACGUAAUACUUUUUGCUGAGGACCUUUUUUAGAUGUUGGAAUAACUGUUACAGGAGGAACUCCUCCUAGAAUCGUAGCAUCUGCUUGAGAUUGCUUGAGUUUAAUUAUGAAUUUAUUUUAUUUUAUUGAACAAUAUGCAUUUAAAUUUACAUUAUUUCAUUCUACAUUUAUUUCGAAACCACUAAGGUAAACUUUUUACUUAGUUGUAUCCAAUUUGUAUACACUGUCCAUGGAGAUAAUAGGUACAUUGAGCUUGAUAUUGCAGAAUCGAUCACAAGAUCAACAUAAAUGAGGAUACCUUCUGAAUCCAAGACUUUUUAAUGUGGUGUUGUGGGUAAUUUCUCAUUUAAAUAUUGUAGGAACUGCUUGGGAUGUUUGUUCCACCUCGAAUGAUUCGUAGAUGCAUGAGCAAUUGAUGUUACCGUACAUAUAUGUAUGUAUAGGAAGAAUAAUGACCUUUAAGAGAUUAUUUUCCUGCACUCCAUUGAAAAAUUAAUUUACAUACGUAUGUAUAUUGCUAUUUAUAAAGCAUGUUCUGAUAAGAAAGUCUGCUUUAAUGAGUUGAAUUCUUACUUUAUUUCAAUUUAUAUUUAUGUAAAUUUUUUUUUUGUACAUUUAUUUCGAAUCCACAAAAGUUAACUUGUCACUAAUUCCUACCCAUUCCAUAGAUAUCAAUACAAUGUCAAGGUCUAACAGCAUCACCCAAACGACCCCCGGAAAGAAGAAUCAUUUCUCAAUCCCAGACAAUUUAAUGUAAUUUCACUGAUUUUUUCAAUGCUUGUUUCCCGAAUUUUCACUUAUUCUUAAUCCUUUCUGAUACAGUUUCUCUGGAAAUCACGUUUUGCGCAUUCAUUUCCAGCGACAAUAGGUACAUUUAUUCUUGCCACUUGCAGAACCGUCACAAAAUUCCACAGAAAGAAGAAUAAUUUCUGAAUCCAAGACAUUUUAAUUUGCUUUCAGAGACUUUUCCGAUGUUUGUUUUCCACAGUUCAGCGAAUUUUUAUCCCCUUCUGACGCAGUCGCCAUUGUAAUCACGGUUUGAGCAUCCAUUUCCAGUGGCAAUAUCCUUUGCCCCUUGUAGAAUUGUCAAAAGGAACCACAGAAAAAAAAAUAAUUUCUGAAUCCAAGACAUUUUAAUUUGUUUUCAAAAACUUUUCUGACUUGUUCUCGACAGCUUCGCGAUUUAAUUUCAACUCAAUGAUUAAUGAUGUUUCAUCG
rnacentral:lncRNA from 1 species